AUGUUUCUUCACUUUGACAGCAUAUAUGCUAAAAUGAAACAAUACAGAAAAAACUAACAAGGCUCCUGUUGCAAGAAUGACAAGCAAAUUUAAAAAGUGUAUUAGUUUUCU
rnacentral:snRNA from 1 species